rnacentral:rRNA from 1 species
UUCGGUCAAAUCAUGUGGCAUUCGAGUGGAGGACGGGUGAGUAACGCGUGGGUAACCUGCCUUACACAGGGGGAUAACACCUGGAAACAGGUGCUAAUACCGCAUAAGCGCACAGGGCCGCAUGGCCCGGUGUGAAAAACUCCGGUGGUGUAAGAUGGACCCGCGUCUGAUUAGCUUGUUGGCGGGGUAGGGGCCCACCAAGGCGACGAUCAGUAGCCGGCCUGAGAGGGUGGACGGCCACAUUGGGACUGAGACACGGCCCAAACUCCUACGGGAGGCAGCAGUGGGGGAUAUUGGACAAUGGGGGAAACCCUGAUCCAGCGACGCCGCGUGAGUGAAGAAGUAUUUCGGUAUGUAAAGCUCUGUCAGCAGGGAAGAAAGAAAUGACGGUACCUGACCAAGAAGCCCCGGCUAACUACGUGCCAGCAGCCGCGGUAAUACGUAGGGGGCAAGCGUUAUCCGGAAUUACUGGGUGUAAAGGGAGCGUAGACGGUGAUGCAAGUCUGGAGUGAAAGGCGGGGGCCCAACCCCCGGACUGCUCUGGAAACUGUGUAACUUGAGUGCAGGAGAGGUAAGCGGAAUUCCUAGUGUAGCGGUGAAAUGCGUAGAUAUUAGGAGGAACACCAGUGGCGAAGGCGGCUUACUGGACUGUAACUGACGUUGAGGCUCGAAAGCGUGGGGAGCAAACAGGAUUAGAUACCCUGGUAGUCCACGCCGUAAACGAUGAUUAAUAGGUGUCGGUGGGGUAGGGACCCUCCGGGUGCCGCAGCAAACACAGUAAGUAAUCCACCUGGGGAGUACGUUCGCAAGAAUGUAACUCAAAGGAAUUGACGGGGACCCGCACAAGCGGUGGAGCAUGUGGUUUAAUCCGAAGCAACGCGAAGAACCUUACCAAGUCUUGACAUCUGGAUGACAGGGACGUAACGGUCCCCUUACUUCGGUACAUCCAAGACAGGUGGUGCAUGGUUGUCGUCAGCUCGUGUCGUGAGAUGUUGGGUUAAGUCCCGCAACGAGCGCAACCCUUAUCUUCAGUAGCCAGCAGGUAAAGCCGGGCACUCUGGAGAGACUGCCGGGGAUAACCCGGAGGAAGGUGGGGAUGACGUCAAAUCAUCAUGCCCCUUAUGAUUUGGGCUACACACGUGCUACAAUGGCGUAAACAGAGGGAAGCGAGCCCGCGAGGGGGAGCAAAUCCCAAAAAUAACGUCCCAGUUCGGAUUGUAGUCUGCAACCCGACUACAUGAAGCUGGAAUCGCUAGUAAUCGCGGAUCAGAAUGCCGCGGUGAAUACGUUCCCGGGUCUUGUACACACCGCCCGUCA